GACGAACGCUGGCGGCGUGCUUAACACAUGCAAGUCGAACGGAAAGGCCCUGCUCUUGUGGGGUGCUCGAGUGGCGAACGGGUGAGUAACACGUGAGUAACAUGCCCUUGAAUUUGGGAUAACUUCAGGAAACUGGGGCUAAUACCGGAUAGGAGCUCCUGCUGCAUGGUGGGGGUUGGAAAGAUACGGCGGUUGGGGAUGGACUCGCGGCUUAUCAGCUUGUUGGUGGGGUAGUGGCUUACCAAGGCUUUGACGGGUAGCCGGCCUGAGAGGGUGACCGGCCACAUUGGUACUGAGAUACGGCCCAGACUCCUACGGGAGGCAGCAGUGGGGAAUAUUGCACAGUGGGCGGAAGCCUGAUGCAGCAAUGCCGCGUGCGGGAUGACGUCCUUCUGGUUGUAAACCGCUUUCGCCGUUGACGAAGCGUGCGUGACGGUAAUUGGUAAAGAAGCACCGGCUAACUACGUG
rnacentral:rRNA from 1 species